AUUUUUUUUUAUUGUUGUUCAAGUACAGUUUUGUGUUUUUACUUACAUAAAUGUUUUUAAUUCUUUUAUCUAUGCUUCUGUGUUAGGAAUGUAACUCUAGAAACCAUAACGAUAUCCGAAUGCAAGGCAAUGCCCUGGAAUACGAUAAUUGGUUUUGUUUCUAAAUUUAAAUUAAUUAAUUAAUU